rnacentral:misc_RNA from 1 species
CCGAGUGAGGGCCCUCUGGGUCCAACCUCCCACCCGUGUUUAUCGUACCUUGUUGCUUCGGUGGGCCCGCCACUUGUGGCCGCCGGGGGGCACCUGCCCCCGGGCCCGCGCCCGCCGAAGACACCAUUGAACGCUGUAUGAAGAUUGCAGUCUGAGCUUAUUAGCUAAAUUAGUUA